rnacentral:misc_RNA from 1 species
UAUAACUUUUUUAUUGUUAUUUAUAUAACUAACCUUACCAGUAAAAGAAAAAGGUUUCUACGUUAGUUACAAAUUACAUUCUACAAAUGUUACAAGUAAUUUUACAUAUUAUAACUAUUAAGGCAAGCUCAUUAUUUGGAUUGAACAUAUAUAAAAGUUAAAACUUUUAGUUGAAAUAUAAAUAUGGUUUGGUGGAAUAGAAAUACAAAAGUUUAUUUAUUCACAAUAACUAUAUGUUUAAUAAUGGUUGUAAACGGAGAAUUUAUUAAUUUUCAAUCUAUUCGGGAACCAGAAAAAUGCCUUUUUGCUCACAAUCAUAUUAGAAAAGUUUGGCACGAUACAAACGAAUUGAAAUGGGAUGACGAACUUGCUUAUGGAGCUACAAAGUGGGCAACUCAUUUAGCAUUACAAAAUGAUUUGCGUCACUCAGAAAUGAAUAAUUACGGCGAAAACAUCUUUCGUAUGAGUGGUGACCCUUCUUUACGGUGCAUUGAUGCAGUUCAUGAAUGGUACAAAGAAAGACUAAGUUCACUUUACGAUUUUGAUGAUGUUAAGUUUGACCCAAAAGCUGGUCAUAUGCUUCAACUGUUGUGGAAGACUGCAAAAAAUGUUGGUGUUGGAAUUGUAACAGCGAAUGGCAAUGUAUGGAUUGUUGCAAGAUACACUCCAGCUCAAGAAGUGGAAACAAGUUAUAAAGAUUACAUUAAAAAGCCAGUCAAAGACGGAUUUCCUGAAAAACACGAGUUAAUUUCAAAUGAAAACCAUCAGACGCUUCAUUCCAGUAUGACCUUUGAAGUUUCAAAAGCAUGCAACGAUGUGCAAGACAAAUGGAGCUUUUGUAAAGAACGUGUUUCUGAUUGCAACGAUAACCCAAUGUUUAGAGAGAACUGUGCAUUAACAUGUCGUACAUCUCCUGAAUGCUCGCAAACAGAAAAUGAUAAUUGGACAGAAUGGGUCAAAGUUUCAAAUUGUUUGGCAGACUGCCGAUAUCGAGAAGAACGGUAUUGCAUAAAUUCGUCUAAAGAUGGUGAAGCAAACAGUUGUCCUGGAAGAAAUACAAAUUAUGUUGACUGUACAGAUUGUAAAUGUGAAGAUGUAGAUCCCAACUGUGUCGAAGAAAAAGCAAUAGGACGCUGUGAAUUAUCAGCUGAAUGGGCUAAAAUUAAAUGUAGGAAAACUUGUGGGUUUUGUUCAAAAGAAGGCAUGCUUUUUGUAAGCCUGUUAAUGACCAGAAUCUUUGUAAGCCAGUAAAACAAUUUAAUGACCAGAAAUAAUUUCAAAAAGCUUAUUUAGACAAUUACAAACACCAUGAAAAAAGUAGUCAUACAAAAUAUGUGUAAUGCUGAUACAAAAGUCUUAUACAGUUUAAACACUGUUGUUGUUAAUAGAGGUGCUUCAUGUGAUUGAAAAUGGGAACGAGGAGAUUUUUAUACUAUGAAUAAUGACUGCAAUAUCUAUUGAUAGUGGAAAAUAUUUGGAUGUAUAACCUAUGAAUAUAGUUUGUAGGUUUGUAUUAAUGAAACAGAAGACAUAACAAAUACUAACAAAUAUUUUUAUUGCACAAUCUGUCAAUUUGGGAUAAAGCUUUAAGAUGAAAAUGGCGAUUGUUAUAAACUAAUAAACAAUGAAAAAGAUGACGAAAUGAUGCACAUUCUCGUUCAAGCAAACACAGAAUAUUUCUACUGUUACACAAAAAAACAUAUUAUUA